rnacentral:rRNA from 1 species
GACGAACGCUGGCGGCGUGCUUAACACAUGCAAGUCGAACGGAAAGGCCCUGCUUUUGUGGGGUGCUCGAGUGGCGAACGGGUGAGUAGCACGUGAUUAACCUGCCCUUGACUUUGGGAUAGCUUCAGGAAACUGGGGCUAAUACCGGAUAGGAGCUCCUGCUGCAUGGUGGGGGUUGGAAAGUGUGGGCGGUUGGGGCUGGACUGGCGGCUUAUCAGCUUGUUGGUUGGGUAGUGGCGUACCAAGGCUUUGACGGGUAGCCGGCCCGAGCGGGUGACCAGCGACAUAGGGCCCAGGAUCCGGCGCGGACUACUACGGGAGACAGCAGUGGGGAAGGUGACAGCAUGGGCCGACGACUGAUGGAGCAACGCCGCGUGCGUGAUGAUGGACUUCGGGUUGUAAACCGCUUUCGCCUGUGACGAAGUGUGAGUGACGGUAAUGGGUAAAGAAGCACCGGCUAACUACGUG